CUUCUGUUAACACAGCUUUUGCGAAUUCGCGUUGGAUGCUUAGUUCGAUUUUGGGGAAAAGCUCGAGGAGAGCGAAUGAUGCGUAGAAAUGGACGUCGUAUGUGCACCACAUGAUGUAUUCCACGCCUUCGAGGAUCAGACAAGGGCAUUCACGUCUUUUGCACAUAUGAAAAAUCAAAAGCAAGUCCUGUCCUACUUUUUUGCGUUAGAUUUUGUGCCGCUGACAUCAGUUUUAGUCCUUGUUCCAAUUUUUUUUGUGGGACUUUGUGCCAGUGACAUCAGUCUCAGUCUCUGGCAAACACACAGUUCAAGAUAAAUGGAUAUAAAAAGUUAGAGAUUUACGGAGAAUUGAUUGGCCAUCAUAGGAGAAGGCUCACAUGCACCGGGAAUUAUUUGGAAUUGCCUAAACUCUCCUCUAAAACCUCUAGUUAUACUUCCACUUCUACAAAACAUCAACAUGAUGAAUAAUAACAUUAUUCUCAUAUAUAUGAACAUGAAGCAAAACAUCCAAAACUUUUUUUUUCUUUUUUAAAUCACAAAUUUACCCCAUUCCACCUAGUGGAACCCCUUGGGUUGCUGCUGGCUUGCCUUCACGAUUGAAAGGAUCAAUUGGAGCUCGCUGUAAAUAUAGAAGGGUAAAAUGGUCAUUUACUAAAUGACAAAGAAGAACAGAAAAAGAAAUAGUCGAUUACCCUUCCAUGAGAGGCCUCUUCCCUUACAUAUGACCAUAGACGGAUUCCAAGGCCAAUCUGUAAUCAAAAUUUCAUUACUAAAUUAUAAACCAAGAUUAAUGGGUAAUUAAUUGGGUAUUGUAUGUUUUAGUUAGUUUAAGGUUAUAAAAACUACCAUUUUCAUUGCUUCCAUGAAAGUAACACUGAAUUCCUUGAGAAUACCAGCAUGGCUGUUUAACUUUCGUCUCCAUGCGUGUUCAGGAGGAGCACCACUAUCGAAGUCAAGCUGCAUAUAUACAAAAAAUUCCACCUCUUCGAUAUGUCCAAAAUUCAUGGAAUUUUCAAGAACUUAUGGUGGAAGUAAAGAAAAAUAAGAAGGAUGUGAAGAAGGUUGAAGAAGAACUUACGAGUUGCAGAGUAGUCCGAUUUACGUAUUCUUCAGGAGGCCAUGAGUCCUUUCUGUAAUGGAAAAUAUUCCCUUUAACCAUGUUUGCCUAAUUUAUAUUCUUGUAUUUAAUAAGGGAAUCUUCAAUUCCAACCAUGGAAGAGAAACCCUGCUUCGGUUUCGUUGAUGAAGAAGAAGACCAAACUUCAGCUCCAAAUCUCCAAUCCCACUACAAACAACAACCCCUUUGAAGUUGACCAAAAGAGACGAAUUAGAAACUGGGAACUUCAACACUGAAAUUGUUGAAGAAAUUCUGGAAAAAGGUUGAAUGAGGAUUGAGAUUUGCCGGAUUUACGCCUGACAACAGUAACGGCGAGUAAA